rnacentral:rRNA from 1 species
CCUCUCCCACUCGCGCCGCUCCCUAUCCUCUUCCUCACGCCCCGCCUCUCUAUCCCCCUCCAAACCCUAGCCCGCGCUCGCCUCCCUGCCCCGCCGCCGGCCUCCGCCGCUCGCCUGGGCACCCAUCGAUGAUCCGUCUUCCCCUCGCGCGGCCGCGCGUCCUUUGCUCCGCCCCGCCCCGAGGACUGGCGGCCCGCCCACUCCACCUCUCCGCGGACGCGCCCGAGUCCGCGU